ensembl:lncRNA
GAGAUGAAAUGAUGGUGCCAGGAGGACCUAUAACGACAAUUUUUCUUUUUCUGCAAACAAAGAAGAGCUCAUCCUUCAGAAAGCCCACAUUCCUUUGGAGGGUAAAAUAGAGAUGAAGCAUUACACGUGAUGGGUGAAAAGUGCUUUUUGAAAACCUAAUUAGCAUCUUUUGUGAGAAAUGUGCCUUUGUCAUUGUAAAAAAGAUGAUUAUGGACAGCAGAUGGGAAGGAGUAAUUCUUCAAAAUUUGGAAAUCAGAUGGCAGAGCUGCCUAAGGAGUAACUUUAAAAUGUUUUAGCUCGUCACACAGAAAAACGACCUGAUGCAAUCCUUUUUCUUCGGAAAUGUUUUCCUAUCCUUACUGCUAGGAGAAUUAAUACACUGUCGGGGAUGAUACCGAACAUUAAACGUUGGUUUGUGAGUCGGACUAGACAACCUCUUAAAUUCUUUUCAAAAAUGAAUUUUUAUGUUACUACUGUAGUCAAGGAUGUGGUCAAGGACAUGAGCCAGACUACCUGGAUUGGAAUGCCAGCUCUCAACCCUAGAAUCAGCUCCUAGCCAUAAAUUGCAAACUAGUGGCCUUUUGCAGAGCUGUAACUAUAUAUACUAGUUGAUGUAGAAAAAUGUGGAAAUUUCGCUUUAUCAGUUGCUUUUUCAUUUGAAGGUUCUGGAGAGAGUCAUGAAUGUGCAGGUGUGUGUGUACAUGCAUAUAUGUAUGAUGAUAUCUGUGUAUACAGCCUUACCAUGGAGAUAUUGCUGGUUUGGUUCUAGACCACCAUAAUAAAGCUAAUAUCACAAUAAAACGUCACACGAUGUUUUUGAUUUCCC